GCACUAAUCCGAAAACUGUCGACUCGGAUGAGCCCGCCGCUGCUGAGGCGUCGGCUCCAGUUGCUACUGAGGCGCCGGCCCGUGAGAAACGUGUCGCCGAGAAGGAUCUUCCGCGAACUGUGAAGCGGAAGAAAACCGCCUGUUGUGGACCCAAACCGAAGCCCAUGACCGUUGGGGCGGCUCUGACGGCCACACAAUCUCAGACGUGCAUCGCGUCUGAGAUCUCGGCGGCUCCAUCUCCCCGUGCUGAGCCUACAACUCAAGCUACGGGUGGGACCGAGACUGCUGCGGAUUCGACUUCCGUCCGAGAUGUCGGCCCAAGCAUCGACGCUACGAGCGUCGCCCAAGCUAGGACAUCCGCAGCCGGGACCUCGGCAGUCGGGGCUGCUCCUUCCUCGGCGGCAGCCGAGACACAAACGAAGCCAUUCGUCACGGAGACCCCGCAGCAGCCGGCAACGGGGCCCCAAGAACCCCAAGAACCACAGACGACUCCGCCACCGCCACCAUCAUCACCGCAGCCGCAAGUUACCCAAGACCUGCAUGAAUAAGCGCACCGCCACCUUCAAGACUUUGCUAGCGAAGUAUAAGAAGAUGGAGGCGGAGCACAAGGCUUUGGUAGCCGAUCGCCAGAGCCAGAUUUAGUAUAUUUUACCGUCAUAAAAGCUUUGUCCGAGUAUUGAUGCACAACAGAAACUGAUACGUGCUCGUGUUUACAGCCGGGGACAAUGCUCAAAUAUCUGAGCUCUUGAAGCGCGUUGCUGAAGUUCAAGAUGAGAAGACCCGGCUCGAAGAGCGGCACCGGGAUGAAGUUGCCCGACUGAAGGCGCAGGUCGCAGCGCAGGCGGAGGCGCACAAGAUCGAGGUGGGUCAACUCACUUCAGCUCUCUCUACCCAGGCCGACGAGAAGAUUCGCCUGGAAAGCGAGGUGCAGAAAUGCAAGGAUCUCGUCGCUGAGGUUGAAACCCGCGCCAGUAGUGCCGAGAAGGAAAAGGCCGAGAACGCCCGCCUGCUCAGCGUGUGCCGGCGUGACCUCAUCAAAAUCGACGCCAUGUUGACUAAAUUUUUUCCACAAUCUGUUGAGACCGCCCAAUCUGCCGUGAUUAAAGCCUGUAAAAGGAGGGAUCCAGCCGGGGCAGAACCCUUCAAAUACGACUUGGAGGAUUUCCUAGUUAGCAUUGCGAGCCGGGUAAAGCCUCUGAAGUCCUUCGGGGUGAACAUGCUCAACGCUGGCUUUUCGAGCUUUGUGGUCGGGAGAAGAAGCUCCGACCGGCAUCCUAGAACUGGCAACACACCUUCUGGAGGUGGAGGAUCGUCUGGAUGAGUGGCGGGAGUCGGCCGCUCAUGUCGGCACCGAUGAGGCCUUGUCGUUUGUACUUUCUUGGUACGACGGCAUCAACCUCGACGUGCUGCAGUCGAUGCGUGUCGGCUCCCCCUACCUCUCGGACAGGAGCGAGCCUACUCCUUCAUCCAAUAUGCCAAUGUGCAUAAAUUUGUGGAGGGCCCGGUAUCCGAAGCAGAGGCAGAGAUGGCCGAGGGAUAAGAUGAGGAGGCAGUCGACGAAGAGAUUGUCGUCGAGUCAGCUUCCACUGCAACAGAUGCUCCGGGUUCUGGCGCCGCCAAUCCUUCUGUCUCUUCUUAGGCAUGUCGGACAAAAUACUUUAAAAUUAUCAGAUCCUCGGGAUGCCGGGUGCAGGUGUAACCGAAGUAUAACACUUUUGUUUGUGAAGCACUAUAUUUUUAAUUUAUUUAAGUUUUUAAUUA